AAAACCUAAAUGUUGGUAAAUAUUUUAGGCUGCUUAUGGUUUUCUCUUCUCCAAGACAUAUAAUGGCUGCUGGAGGAUGCUUAAUUGUCUUGGAAAUCUUCUACAAAAUGGACUUCUCGUUACUGGGCUUUUUGAUUUGCUGCAUUUUGUUAGGAUUCGGAAUAUAGGAAGCAACGUCUUUGGAUCGUGGGAAAAAGAUAAUGUGCAUAGCAUUGAUAUUACAAACGGGAUUUUUGAGGACCAAAAUGAGAGGUCUCCUCUUCCAACAUGAAGUAUUUGAGACUCACAGAAUCGUCGUUUUGGCUAUGCACAUCAUGAGUGUAUUGGAAGCAAG